CCUACGGGUGGCAGCAGUGAGGAAUAUUGGUCAAUGGGCGGGAGCCUGAACCAGCCAAGCCGCGUGAAGGAAGAAGGCGCCAGGCGUCGUAAACUUCUUUUGUCGGGGAACAAAGGGCGCCACGCGUGGCGUUGUGAGUGUACCCGAAGAAAAAGCAUCGGCUAACUCCGUGCCAGCAGCCGCGGUAAUACGGAGGAUGCGAGCGUUAUCCGGAAUUACUGGGUGUAAAGGGAGCGUAGGCGGGGAUGCAAGUUGGGUGUCAAAACUACCGGCUCAACUGGUAGUCGCACUCAAAACUGCAGCUCUUGAGUGAAGUAGAGGCAGGCGGAAUUCCUAGUGUAGCGGUGAAAUGCGUAGAUAUUAGGAGGAACACCAGUGGCGAAGGCGGCCUGCUGGGCUUUUACUGACGCUGAGGCUCGAAAGUGUGGGGAGCAAACAGGAUUAGAUACCCCAGUAGUC
rnacentral:rRNA from 1 species